UUGUUUAACCCUUGAAGAACAUAAGGCUGAGGCAGGAUCUCCUAGCUAUCUACCUAAUAGGGAGUUACAGAGAAGAGAGUUUCACGCUUCUUGGAAGCAUACAGCAGAAGAACAGUAGACGUGGCUACAAGUUGCAAGAGAAACUCCAUCUGGACACGAGGAAAAAAAAAUCACCAGAGUAUUCAACCAGUGGAAGAGGUUGCCCAUAAAUUGAUGGGAUCUCCAUAAUGGAGAUGCUAAAAACCCAACAGAACCAGCCUCUGAGAAACGUAAAUUAACUUUGAAGUUGGUCGUGUUCUGAGCAGUAAUUCUUCCUUCACCCUUAGCUUUUGGCAUAUAAUUCCCUGAAAGCUCACCCGUAACUUACGGCAAGGUAAUUGCCUUCUCUGAGCAUAGCAUAUCUGAAUGCCACUUUCCAUGACUGGUCAGAUCACAGAGCACCUUUAAUGAUGCAGCUCUCUGGUAACAGAACAAGUUUGGCUUCUCCUGGUGCCUCACAGCAGCUGGAAACAAAGCUGAGUCCCCUCCAGGGCAGUGAGAGUGUGUGCAAGACGGAUAACUCUUCCACUGCAAGGCAAGAUGGAAAAGACUGCAGAACAAACAUGAAGGCUUUGCUCCUUUGCAGGCACAGGAAUCGUGCUUUUCUGUCCUUUCAUGUGAUCCGCCUACCACAGAAAGUUGCUAACAAGGACUUGGAAAGUAAAAUGUGCAUUAAAUGAACGGGUUUGGCAGAAGAAACAUCUGUUUAACUGGAGUGGAUGACUUCAGCUGCAAUGUGCUGCAGAGACCCAGAGCAGUGCUCAGCAGGAUGACCUCUGCCAGAUCAAUCUUCAGCGAGAGAACAUCUCACAAAGCAACUGCCCCACCUCUACCUGUCAUUUCUUGAGGAAGACCUGCAGAAAAUCAUAGAAUCAUAGAAUCACAGAAUGGCCUGGGUUGAAAAGGACCACAGUGAUCAUCCAGUUUCAACCCCCCUGCUAUGUGCAGGGUUGCCAACCACCAGACCAGGCUGCCCAGAGCCACAUCCAGCCUGGCCUUGAAUGCCUCCAGGGAUGGGGCAUCCACAACCUCCUUGGGCAACCUGUUACAGUGUGUACCACCCUCUGUGCGAAAAACUUCCUCCUAAUAUCUAACCUAAACCUCCCUGUCUCUGUUUAACAAGCCUAGGAAAUAAUAUUCAACUCUGUUGGCUACUAAAAGUCAGCAGAUCAGCAGUGCCACGUGCUUCACACUGUCCUGCAGUGCUUCAUGCACCCUGCAUCUACUGAUCCCUCUGUCCUCAGGUGCUCCCUGCUGGUGCUGCCACUGGACACAUCCCACCUCUCCUUGCCACCACCCUCUGUGGUCCACAGGUGUCGCCUGCUUAUGCUUUUACAGUGAUUUUACUAAAGGUAAACUGAACUCAAAGCGAUCACUCCUCACCAGCAUCAUGAUAUUUGCAGCCUCUGUCUCAGACUGGUAAAAGAGCUCGUCUGGCCAAGGUUGACAUACAGUUUUUGAGAGCCUAAUCAAAAAUUAGAGCUACAAUCAUUUCUUGUCUGUGUCCUGAGGCCUUCAGAGCCGUUACAAGAAUAAAUAAGUGAUCAGACAUAUCCUUUUCUCGUCGUCGCAGCAAGGCUUAGGCUCCCUUCUGGAAGGGAGCAGCUCAUAACAAAGGCAGAGCGUUCCUCUGCUAUCGCUGGUGGUUUUUGCAAAUGUGAAAGAUGUGCAGACAUAGCAGAGAAAAAAGAUAGCAAGUAAGCGCAGACAAACAUAGACGUCUUCACAGGAGGAAAAUUCCCCCACCCCAGUACAGACUUUUGGCUGAAGGAUAAUGUCUUUGUUCCCGGAUCCAAGAUGCUGUCACUCCCGUUUCAUUAUUCCUCCUCUAAAAGAAACAGACUUUUCACAUUCUUUGUAAAUGAAAGGGAUUGCAUUAAGUAAAAAACCUGUUUAUUGUUAGCUUUUCUUCUUAACAGAAACUGCCUGCAGGGUCCCUCCCUGUGGCCAGCAGUUUGACAGAAAGCAGUAAUAGUCCUGUGAGUGAAUCCAGUGUGGUAUGUGCAUCCUUUUAGCCAGGAUUAAUGAAAAUGAAGAAGAAGGAAGUUGUGCUGGGUGGAUGCUGGAGCAUUUGGGCAUUUUGGAACUGAUCAGCUAGUUGAGUUUUGAUAAGUUUGCAGAUAAGUGCUCCAGGACACCAUCAAGCCUCUCUCUCCACAUAGUUACAGCUCCAGGUCGUUAGAAGCCUGAAAGUCCUCUUUGCAAAGAUUAAAUCUGCCUCCUCCUCUACGAAUACUGGCACUGUAAGAAAGACUGCAAACUUAGGAACAUCCCAACCUGUCUUAUAAAAGCGAGACUGCACAUAAAAUGUUAUAUGCUAUUCAUUAACAACAUUUUAAAGAGCUCAGGAAGACUUCCAAACACGAGCUGAAGAAGAACAGCCCAUGCAGCUGGACCUCACGUUGUCCCAUGUUUAAAAGUCGUUAGAGGGACAAAAUGUAAAGUAACGUGAUGGGGCUGUCUUGCAAAUGAGUGGAAGUUGGAAAAUAUAACACUUCAAAUAGGACCAUCUCUUCCAGGACUGAAUGCUUGAUGAUACAGAGGUACAGUCCUUAGGUGGCGUAGACCUUUUCAUCGUCUCAGGUGAAGACUGCAGGGUUACAGAGAUGUGAAAUUAGGCCAUGGGAGACAAUAACUGUAUAAAAUAAGCCCCUGAUGAUGAGUGUCACAGUGGCAUAGCUGGUGGUUCAAACGGGUGGCACCUUGGCAGCAGGGUCCUCUGGCUUGGAGCUCCAAGAAAGCCUUGGUGUAUAACUGUUUUAUGAGACUUCUCGUGUCUGUCGCCAUGAACUUAUCAGAAACACUGGUCUUAUCACCGUGAGAUAAUACUAUUUAUUAAGGCUUAUAGUGUAACAACUGACACUCCUCACACUGUGUAUAAACUCUCCUUCGAAGUCUAAGAUUUAUAAAAAGAGAGUGAGGAAACACAGAUACUGGGGGGAUGGAAAGCUGUCAGCGAGAGCCCUUUGGCUGAGCCUGUCCUGUCGCCAGGAGGGUCUGUGCUCUCAGAACACAAGCACCAGAGAAGAGCAGCUCCAAAACCCAAUGGCUGCAUUGCUGCAGGCCACCGGCAUUGGUCUCUUUAAGCAAACAGCGAGGGCAGAGGGGGUGAAAGAUGGAGCCUGCCCAUCACCUGCGCCAUGUGGCUGAGAUGGAGCCAUGGGGAACCCGAGAAGAAACAAAGGCAUGGGAUCAUUUUAAAAGCUCCCUUUCACUGUCUGAGAGUUUACAAGCUCAGCAAACAAUCAUUUCUCUGUGGGUUUUGCUGGAGUUAAGUGGAAGGCUGUAAGGAGUCCUGCCACCUCUCACAGAGCCACAGCUUCAGGGGCUUCUGUGCUUCAGCCCUGCAGUCUCAAGCCCGUGUUGGAACAGGACCAGAAUGAAGCCCUGACAUAUGUUGCAGCCAAAGAUUUCCCAGGGUUCCCAAGACGGUUGCGGGAAGCCAAGCGUUCUUAAAUUCUUCGGAAAAUCCCAAAUGCACCCAUGAUGACAAAGGGCAGCUUCUGGUCUCACCCAAAUAGCAACCAGCUACAAGUCAGUCUAUUUGUCCUUCCAGUGACAUCUUAACAGCAGAGAUUAUGCAGAAGGCACUUUGCCAAUCUGUGCUGGCUCUUUCUGCAGCUGGUUGAUAGAGAAAGGAGUGGCUUCAACCAUCCGGCCCAAGGUUCUUUCAGCAUAACCUGCAUUCACUCAGCGAUUUGCUAACUGGAUAAAAAGUCUUGGUAACAUUCAAGACAGCAUGGCUUCACAGUGACAGCUAGCAGACAGCAAGGUAGUGUGGCUUUUACUGUUCCACGCAUUCUCCCUACAUGCGCUAUGAUUACUUGCAGCAUUAAAAUAGUUUUUCCUUCUGGUUCUCAUUUUGCUAUCACCAUUAUUCACAGUAUGGCUGUGCCCACAUCUGGAUGUCUGGUGGUACGUACUACUCUAUGUGGUAGUGCCCAGUGGCCAGGAACCUGCUGUGGUAGGUGCUGGGCUCUCAGGCAGAAGCAACACCUCCCCUGAAGAGUUCAUGACUGCAAUGGAAUAUUAACAUGGAAAGAAAACAUUAAAUUUGCAGCUGAAUGCAGUCUAGAUUCAAAUGAAGGAGAGGCAGUAAGAAUGACCAGAGCCAGUUCUUCACUCCCACUUGCUUCUUCAGACUUGGCUUACAGGAAGGAGUCCUAGACAGUAUUAUGCAGCUGAGACCAUUUUUUUAGCUGUUUCUGGCAAAAGGGGCGUUGAAGAACCAGUAGCUGAGGAUUUAAUGGAUUAUUUAGGACAGAUUUACAUCUCUUUGCAUGCUUUGAGUGAUACAAAGAAGGUAAGUGCCAUGAUAUCAGUGAAAUAACGUUGUUCUUGUUAGCUGCUCACAGUCUACUCCAAAACUGUAGUUAUCGCGGCCUCUUUUGCCUCAGAUUAAAGUACCACAGUCACAAAAUGCCUGAGGACCACAUGAGCUGAAAGCCUGAAGUCUCAUUCUUGCUUGUUACUGUGCAAAGUCACUGGCUCCCGGAUCAAACGCAUCAUUACUGCAGGAGACACAAAAUCAAAGCUCUACCAUCUAUGAUCAUAAUCUGUCUAGGGAUAUAUAUUUCCCAUUUCAAAGGUGUUAAUCUUAAGAUAAUGGACAACUUCUGACCCCAGUAAUGAGUUCUCUGCCUUCAGAAAUUCCUUCUAUUUCAAAAAAUACAGCAGUUGCAAUUUGAGUGAGUUUUUUCUUUGCUUUUUGUUCUAAAGUUGUGGUGUGGUUCCGCACUGUGGGGACCAGGCAGACUUGGUCAGACAAUUCUAACUAAAUUAUCUUCCCACAGAAAUGUCUUACUUUCCCUUUUUGAAGCUACUUUUUCCUGAUAAAGUAUAUGCUAUGCCAGGGAAAGUGGGGACAAGCUAGCUCUCUCUGGUCUGAAGAUCAAGGCACCCUCUUAGAUGGAAUAGUUCCAGGUUCAGGUUCAAUACUUCAUAACCAGACAAAUAGCUGAUAUUUUCUCGUGACUGUUUAGAAAAACAGAAGCCCAGCCAGACAAAACCUAGAAAGACCUUGAUGGCAUGAAAAGCAUUUCACAUCCCUCUCAAUUGGUAGGUUGGUUUCAUAUCAGCAACAGUAACUUGCAGCUGGGGUGAACUUUCCCUUAGCAGCCCUUCCCCUUAGCAUCAGAGUCUUUUAGUUUGGAAGAGACCCUGGAAAUAUUCUCAUCCCUCCUCCCACUCUAAGCAAGUCCAAUUGAAAUCAGGUGCCUCAGGACCUUGUCCAGUUAAGGUUUGAAUACUUCAGCCAGUUCUGGAGUACAGGACUCAGUUCUGCUGCUUAAGAGUUAAGGAGAUAUAUUACAGUGGGGCCACUAUUUCACUUUAUUUUAUGAUCCAAAAGCUCAACAAAAAUUACUUUAAUCCAUGGCAUUUAUGCUGCAUAACUCCAGAAGCACACUGCAUACGUGCACUGACAGAGGCAUUUGGGGUAAUCCAUAAACACUGCACUGCCAUCAGCUAGAACAGGAGUCAUUUCCUCUCCCUAACCCAGUACUUGCAAGGUCUGUGGAAGACUAUGUGGUUAUAUCUCAUGCUCAUCAGUCUUUCUGAAACUACACUGCCUGUGACGUGCAGAGCGCACACAGGCCUUUCUUCUUCAUUGCUGGAACAGAGGAUAAAAAGAGGAUAAAACAUACCUGGCAGGUAAAUCAAGCAAACAAUGCAGAAUUUAUGAUUCCCCUUCUUAAUAUUCACAGAGUAUACAUUGCAGAAUAAUAUAAUUCCUCACAAAAAGGCACUCAGAUCAAUAUAAACAGAAUAUAAACAUGAAUCUGGAAAAUAAAGACAGAGUCACUGACAGCUCCUGAGGUAGGGUGUUAUUAGGAAGGAGUGAGGGAACAACAGAACCAAAUUUUUAUGUUUCAAAGGAUCUAAAUUCAUUAUUCCCAGUCAGAUGGUGCUCUUCCCUACAGAAAGACACCUCUAGUUUACUUUGUUUAGACUUUCCAUUUUCUACUCAGGUGAGGUGGCUCACCCACUCUCCCAUCCCUACGGAGAGCUGGCUUUACCUUCACUUGCUUUCCAACGUACCACUCAGGAGAAUUUUUCUGCUUUCAGUAGCUGGUCUUCAAAUCACUCCAUUAUUAAAACUCCAACUUUAUUUUUGCAAUACAAACAAAAUACACGCUGAGUUUAAAGCUAGAGGUGUUGCAAGCAGAGCGUUUUAAUCAAUAUUUAAUUUAGCUGGACUCAUCACUUAAGAGCGAGUAGCCAAGUUCCACACAUUAAGAAUGGUCUUUUGCAAUGCCCAUCUUGACAAGCAAGCUUUACCAUCGCAAGCACUGCUGCUGAAUUCCAGCACAUCGCUACCUGCAUCUGAAAGGACGCAGAUAAUGAGGUACAGACGUUUCUUUCGAUGCUGCAGGGAGCUUGAGGAAACCUAAAGUGAAAGAGCUUCCAGAACACUUCACUGUAUUCAUCAGUACAGUUCAACCAAAUUAAUAACUCUACCAUCUUGGCUUGCAAACAGGCAAACAUUUCAUCUUAGAACUGGUUCAUUAAAAAUGUCAAACCCAGCAACCCAGACCGGGAACACUAAAGGGCUGUGUCUUCAGUACAGAUGGUGCAGUGGGGUGUCUAGGGGACACUGAUCAAAAUCUGCCUGAGCUGGUGAUUUAAUAUGCAAAGAAAUAUGUUGGUUUACAACUUGUAGCAACUCCUUAAAGAAUAUCUGGAGACAAAACAAACAAACAAAACCAAAAACACCCAGGUAAUCUUCUCUUUAGAAGAGGAACCUACACUUUUCAUAGGGUUUUAAGAAGCUUAUAGUCUGCAAGGGGCAGCAUUGAAGGUAAUAUAACUCAUUUUAUCCAUCUCUUCCCCAUUCCCAGAGUAAUGCCAUUCCCAGAGCUAUGACAAAACCUGCUGAAUAAGUAACUUGUUCUAAGUUAGCUGCCCAGCUAAAGCAUGGAAAUAUCUCUGAUGAACUGAUGAACAACUUAUAUCCAAAAGUAUUUUUAUGGACUGCAAAUUGUUGGCGAGUUGUCCAUAAUUCAAACAGAGAUGGUUUUGUUCAUUAAACAGUACUGCCAACCUGUACCGGAUAUCUGUGUUUAGUGGGCCUCAACACAACAAGGAUGGGCAAUUCCACAGUUGAAGGCUGGAUAACGGCAUUGCUCCAGGGGAGUUACUCUGGAUUUACAGUGUGGAGUGAGGUUGGAAUCUGGACAACUAAUAAGGGAUCAGUAAAUCUUCUUUUCAGCUUUUACUUAUUUAUUUAUUUAGUCUCCUAGAAAGACAAUGAAGCUAACAAAAACGAUACUGGACCGAAAGCAAAGUGAAAUGGCUGUUGCAGACUGUUAACACAUCACACAACGCUCAGAUAAAGAAGAGGGAGUUUCCACCUGGGAAAUUCCCUCAAACUCUAUGUUUAUCCUGUGAAAGACGAGCAAGCAGCCAAGUAAGGGAAUGCAAAGCAUACAGCUGCUCUAAAAGAAGACAAACCUUUGACUGCAGAGAGAAAAAGCGUCCUAAAACCCAAAUGAUUGUAAGUUUAACAAUCAAGAAGCAACAGAUAACUUAGAUAUCAGCGUGGCCAGUUGGGGCUAGGAUAUAAACACCCAACAAGAGUUGUCCAGGUUGUUCACAUUUGACCUUUCUGCAAGCCAGUGCAACAAAAUCUGUGGUAAAGAUUUUAUUAACCACAACAUAAAAGAAAACAGGAACAACCAAGCUUUCACAGGACCUCUAAGACUGCCUGACUUACACUUCUACUAGAAUCAUAUAAUAUCAUAGAAUCAUAGAAUGGCCUGGGUUGAAAAGGACCAUAAUGAUCAUCGAGUUUCAACCCCCCUGCUACGUGCAGGGUCACCAACCACCAGACCAGGCUGCCCAGAGCCACAUCCAGCCUGGCCUUGAAAGCCUUCAGCUCUGAGAACACUGUUUAGCCUGGCUGCUUCUGUGGCAGAUGUCUCUCCAGUGAUGCAUGAAAAGCCCCACCAAAACCAAGGCAAAGUCUCUAGGCAGGUUUUUGUAGAGCAGUUCUGCAUUUUGUUCCCACAGCCCAACACCACACACAGUAGUGGUACAAACAAUCACAGACUGUUAGCUUUUAAUUGAAAGGAAUGUUCUUUUAGUUAAGAUAAACUUCUCAGUCAGUCAUCUCAAAUCAUAAAUAUCAAUAAUUUUACUACCAAACAAUGUGGAAUUUCCCAGCUAAAUUAAAGCCUCAUGAAGUCCUACUUGCCACAAUACCUUCUGUUCCCUUCACUUUUUCUCCCUCUUGUCUCUGAGCUGUUUCUUGAUUGCUUUUACUUUUACUCCUACCUCUUUUUUAAUUUUACUUGAAUUUUUCUGCCCUCUCCCUUUUGGAUAGCAGGAGACAUGCUGGCUCUGAGAACAAACUACCUGCCUUCCCCAUGGCUGUGAGGGUGUUUGGUGCAAUGUAAUGCACAGGCCCAGACGCUAGCAAAGGAGCUGAAUGGGAACUUUAAGGUAUGAUCCUGGGUGAGUGCCUGGACUGGCCAUCCUGGGAGCAGAAUAAGUAAGACUUGGAAAUGCUAGGAGGAGGAGAGAAGCUCCCUUUUAAAACUUAAUGUUACUCUGUGGAAGUUAGAAUAACCAUGGGAUUGGAGCACUCUGAGAAAAGCAGCUCCCCACAAGUAGUCCAAGAUACGGCUCGAGAGCACUCCCCUAGCUUCAUGCCCACACAUAUGCAAUGCCUCACCAGACUUCUGAGAGCGGGUGCUGGAUUUAGGACCUGGCCAUCAAGUGCUGUCAUUAAAUGAUGUGCUAAGAAUGGAGAAAUGUCACUGAAGACUUUCCAAAACUGUGAUCCCAUAGCUCAUACAUCCUGCUGCUGCCAGACUUGUUUCCAGAAUGAAAACUGAUCCCUUGCUCAACAGGGAAGUGAGACCUCCUACAUCCACCAGAAAGAAAAAAGGGAAAUGCCUUGGUCGCAGUCUCUCCUACUCUGCCUACUCUGAAGCCAAGCCAGAGGCACUGACCUCAGGAAUGGGUUUCUUAAAGACUUCAGGAAACUCCAGACACCUGGUUAACUUCCAUAUUUUAGUCUUCUUCAUUGUCAUUACAUCUACCCGAAAACAGACUCCUUCUGUGCUUUGCCACGAUUCUGAAUCUAAAUCAUCUCUGGACAUCACCUCGUCUUGCCCUCGGCCACCAAAACCAGUGGCGUUUACUGGCACUGGUGCAGGAGUAUCCCUCGAUGACAGAAGAUCAGAGCUUUUGUCUGCAAUCCAUGCAUGUCUAAGGGUGCUAAGGAAAUAAUAGGAAAUGACAAUGAGCUUAACAAAUGACACAUCAAGGAAUAAAUACUCCCAUCAUUAGAUUAUGCUUAGCAUAUACUGGAUACAAUUAAUACAAUUACUCUGACUAAAUGAUAGUAAAAGCCUAUGAGCUACCAGUGUUGCAGCUUUACACAUAUUAAUGACAACAUCACUCUGAAGAUUUAUUCAUUAUACUGAAUUUACUGGUGGGGAAGCACAGGUUAAAUAAGUUUUCUAAGGCCACACAGCAAGUGCUUGGAUUUAUAACUUCCAAGUCUGCCUUCUGCUCCACCCAACAGGCCAUGCUGACUCACUGUGGAAUGCAUAUUUCCACCAAACUUUUAAGGGAAAGAGGAACAAAAGGUACAGAUAAAGAACUAAUUCCAAUAAAUAAAUGUUUUCUGCCACUCAAAAAACAUGACCCAUCUUCUGUUUUACUCGUCACACUCAUCAGCAUGUUGGCCAGAAACGGGAGCACCAGAAUAACACGCGGGAGAUUGCUCUGACAGCAUUUUCAGCAAAACUGCAAGCCAGACACAACACAGCCUUAUGGCAUGAGAUCUCCAUCACAAAGAAAAUCAUUAGAAAUUCAGAGAAUCCAGAACUGUUCCCUUUUAUGCAGAUCUUGGAAUCCCCAAGACUGUAAGGAAGCAGCAGUGAUGCUGUUAUUCCACCUUCUUGUAUCCUAUUUCUAUACGACUGCUCCAUAAUACAUAUGGCUGCUCCUCAGUGAUGGAGCUGUGUGUACAUGCUGGAACAUCAGAAGUAACAAAUUUGUUUUAUGCAAAUGAACAAUUUAAAUAUUAACUUGUCCUAAAGAUGAAAUAUUUUCGGAAACCUAAGAAAAUUAAAUGGAACAACAGUUUCAAAAACCUUUUAAGUCAGACAUUAACCAAGAUGAGUGUGAGAGAAAACGCUGAUAAUGUGACAGUACUGUAACCAGACAACCUGGCAUCUGG
ensembl:lncRNA